GACGAACGCUGGCGGCGUGCUUAACACAUGCAAGUCGAACGGAAAGGCCCUGCUUUUGUGGGGUGCUCGAGUGGCGAACGGGUGAGUAACACGUGAGUAACCUGCCCUUGACUUUGGGAUAACUUCAGGAAACUGGGGCUAAUACCGGAUAGGAGCUCCUGCUGCAUGGUGGGGGUUGGAAAGUUUCGGCGGUUGGGGAUGGACUCGCGGCUUAUCAGCUUGUUGGUGGGGUAGUGGCUUACCAAGGCUUUGACGGGUAGCCGGCCUGAGAGGGUGACCGGCCACAUUGGGACUGAGGUACGGCCCAGAAUCCUACGGGAGGCAGCAGUGGGGAAUAUUGCACAAUGGGCGGAAGCCUGAUGCAGCAACGCCGCGUGCGGGAUGACGGGCUUCGGGUUGUAAACCGCUUUGGCCUGUGACGAAGCGUGAGUGACGGUAAUGGGUAAGGAAGCACCGGCUAACUACGUG
rnacentral:rRNA from 1 species